rnacentral:rRNA from 1 species
UACGGGGGGAGCAAGCGUUGUUCGGAUUUACUGGGCGUAAAGGGCGCGUAGGCGGCCAGCACAAGUCAGUUGUGAAAUCUCCGAGCUUAACUCGGAACGGUCAACUGAUACUGUGCGGCUAGAGUGCGGAAGGGGCAACUGGAAUUCUUGGUGUAGCGGUGAAAUGCGUAGAUAUCAGGAGGAACACCGAUGGCGAAGGCAGGUCUCUGGGCCACUACUGACGCUGAGAAGCGAAAGCAUGGGGAGCGAACAGG